rnacentral:misc_RNA from 1 species
ACCGGAAUAUGCCGAAGAGAACAACCCACACGUACUCGAGCGAGGACGCAGCUCCUGAUGGUCCAGACUCCGAUCUCUUUGUCUAUUACUGCAAGCAUUGUGGCUCUCACGUCCUUAUUACCGAUACACAAUUGCAGAAAAUGCCAAAGAGAAAGACUGAUAAAGCAUAUGUAUUGGAUAAGAGGAAGCAUCUUGCAAGAUUGAACAUUAAUGAGGCUGGAAAAAUUCUCUUGAAACGGGGUGAAGGGAAAUUGGAGAAGCAGUUUCGUAUGAACUGUAUGGGUUGUGGCCUGUUUGUUUGCUAUCGUGCGGAAGAAGAUCUGGAAACUGCUUCUUUUAUAUAUGUUGUUGAUGGAGCACUUAGUACAGUCGCUGCUGAAACAAAUCCGCAGGAUGCUCCAGUGCCGCCAUGUAUAUCUCAGUUAGAAGGAGGACUCGUUCAAGUAGCUAUUGAAGUUGAAGACCGUGCACAACGCUCAGCAAUAACAAGAGUGAAUGCUGAUGAUGUUCGAGUUACGGUAGCUGCGCCCCUGCUGCUCGUGGGGAAGCUAACAAUGAACUUUUAGAAUUCAUGGGCAAAGUGUUGGGUCUAAGACUGAGCCAGAUGACUCUUCAAAGGGGAUGGAAUAACAAAUCAAAACUCCUUGUUGUGGAGGAUUUGUCUGCUAGAGAGGUGUAUGAGAAACUUCUGGAAGCUGUACAGCCGUGAAGCUGGAGUGUUACUGUUACUGAUUUGAUAAAUGAGUUGCAAGUGAUUACACUUUAUUAAAAUUGAAAUAUGGAGUUUAAACCCGAUGCAAGUGGAUAACUGCUUAGCAAGUGUAAUUGCAUUACCAGAUAUGCGAGGCUAGAAUUUUGUUGAAUUGAUCCUGUUACUGUAAGCUUCGCAAGAGGAGUGAUUUAAUAUAUAUAUGGAAUUUUCUUUAUCAUCUCAACCUUUUUAGAUGAUAUUACAGGAGCG